rnacentral:misc_RNA from 1 species
GAUGAAGAACGUAGUGAAAUGCGAUAAGUAAUGUGAAUUGCAGAAUUUAGUGAAUCAUCGAAUCUUUGAACGCACAUUGCGCCCCCUGGUAUUCCGGGGGGCAUGCCUGUCCGAGCGUCAUUGCAACCUUCAAGCGCGGCUUGUGUGUUGGGUCUCGUCCCCCGUGGACGGGCCCGAAAGGCAGUGGCGGCGUCCCGACAUGGUGCCCGAGCGUAUGGGAAUCCUCUUCCGCUCGAAUCGGCCCAUGCGGCGCUGGUCGUAACCAAAUUUUUUACCGGUUGACCUCGGAUCAGGUAGGGAUACCCGCUGAACUUAAGCAUAUCAAUAAGCGGAGGA